GAAUGGGACCUAUGAACCGAGGAAGCUCCUGAGAACUCCGACCUGAACAACGCUGCAUCAGAAUCCGAUGAGUAGUCAGACUCCGGCCAGGGAGGCGCAGAUGACGAAUGUCCUGUCACUGAUGGAGGAGCAAACUUGGCCAUUGCACUCGGGCAAACCCGAGUCUCUCGAUGAGGGCAUGCUGGCACCAGGAAGACCAGUCCCAGUGCUGGUGCCUGUUGCGGCACCAGGAGAACAGGUCCCAGUGCCGUGAGUGGAGCCAGCUGCAGCACCGGGAAAACCGGUCCCAGUGUCUGGGGUAGGGUUGAUGCCAGGAGAACAGAUCCCGGUGCCCGGAGUGGAGCUGGUUGCGGCACUGGGAGGACUGGUCUCAGUGUUGGUGCCGGUUGUGGUGCCAACAUGGAUGGCUGCGGUGCCAAAGUCGGUAUCGUUUGCGAGACGAACCCCGAAGAAGUCAACUUCAUCGGCGAUGGCGGGACCGACAUGGCCCAUGGGGCCAGUGCCAGUGAUGGUGCCGAAACAUGCAUCGGUGCUGAAGAGGCUGAUGCUGAAGGGUCCAGUGCCGACGACUAGAACGGCACCCCAGGAAAGCUGCUCAGCGCUGGUAUCGAAGAUGAUGAUGGUGCCGUAGAUGUUGCCGUGAGGCCAGGGUUAUACGGCACUAGUGCAGCCAAGACGGGGUCUAGUAGGCGACCCAGCACCGAGGGAGGUCGAGCCCAGUAGAGCGCCGAGUGAAGCCUGGCGGCCUGCGCCGAGGCCAGCACUGACGUGAAGGCAAGCGGGACUGGUCCCACAGGGGACGGUCCUGCUGCAUAAGCGACCGGUGCCGUCCAGUCACGUCGG